CGAGCGGCGAACGGGUGAGUAACACGUGGGUAACCUGCCCUGUACUCUGGGAUAAGCCUGGGAAACUAGGUCUAAUACCGGAUAUGACCUGCCUCCGCAUGGUGGUGGGUGGAAAGUUCCGGCGGUACAGGAUGGACCCGCGGCCUAUCAGCUUGUUGGUGGGGUAAUGGCCUACCAAGGCGACGACGGGUAGCCGGCCUGAGAGGGUGACCGGCCACACUGGGACUGAGACACGGCCCAGACUCCUACGGGAGGCAGCAGUGGGGAAUAUUGCACAAUGGGCGAAAGCCUGAUGCAGCGACGCCGCGUGAGGGAUGACGGCCUUCGGGUUGUAAACCUCUUUCAGCGGGGACGAAGGGUGACUGACGGUACCCGCAGAAGAAGCACCGGCUAACUACGUGCCAGCAGCCGCGGUAAUACGUAGGGUGCGAGCGUUGUCCGGAAUUAUUGGGCGUAAAGAGCUCGUAGGCGGUUUGUUGCGUCGGCUGUGAAAACUUCACGCUUAACGUGGAGCCUGCAGUCGAUACGGGCAGACUUGAGUUCGGCAGGGGAGACUGGAAUUCCUGGUGUAGCGGUGAAAUGCGCAGAUAUCAGGAGGAACACCGGUGGCGAAGGCGGGUCUCUGGGCCGAUACUGACGC
rnacentral:rRNA from 1 species